UUUUGAACGAAGAGUGUUUGGUCUUGCAUUGUGAUGGCGUCUGAGUGUUGGCUUGGUCUCUGUUGGCUUGCUACAUAUCUAGAAAGCUCUAUGAUUUGUGCUAAGGUAGUUCUUCUCAACGAGCAUAUCUGAGAUGGAACUUCCAUGCUACUUGCUUUUCCGAGUUUGAUUUGCUGCUACAAGAUCGGAAAGAUAUUAUCUGAAGCGUAUCCAAUUUGGAUUUUCCAGCUCAAAAUAUCAGUAGAUUUGUUGUGGUAGUGCCUUAACAGGAUUUGAGACUUCUCCAUUCAGGUAGGUUAUGCUCGUUUGACUCACAUUAUGGUAAUUAUUUUUAAUUUUUUAUAAUUUAAGUAAUAAGUAAUGAUAUAUGUAUCUUUUGAAUUGUGUCGUAAUGAUUUUGUAUAUAUUUCUAUAUUUAAGGAAAAGACAAGUCCGGUA